UACAGAGGGUGCAAGCGUUGCUCGGAAUCAUUGGGCGUAAAGGGCAAGUAGGUGGUCUCGUUUGUCUGAGGUGAAAUCCCUGGGCUUAACCCAGGAACUGCCUCAGAAACGGCGAGACUAGAGUCCUGGAGAGGGUCGCGGAAUUCCUGGUGUAGCGGUGAAAUGCGUAGAGAUCAGGAGGAAUACCAGAGGCGAAAGCGGCGACCUGGACAGGAACUGACACUCAACUGCGAAAGCGUGGGGAGCAAACAGG
rnacentral:rRNA from 1 species